CACCAGACGCGCUAGGGGCGGCAAAAACGCGCUAUUCGCGCGUAGUUAGAUGCUUGAACAUUUUGAGUUUACUCGCUGUAUUCGCACUUGAAAGCCGCGCGUGAAAUUCAAGGCAUUCACGCCGAAAUUCGCGUCAUGGGAGGGGUUUCUGCCAGGCCGGAGAUCCAAGCAUUCACCCACUCCUUCAAGAGCUGCCCUGACGGCCGCCUGCAGCGCUACUUCCGGCCGGCCUCAGUUAGAUGACCGUGACGGUGGGAGUAUUUCCUUCGAGGACUGCAGAGCGCCUGUCUUCGGUCUCCGAUAUCUUACCACUGGAGACUCCUCCCUUACCAUCACCACCAGCUUCUGUGUUGAUGUCUAAACAAAGUCUAAACUGUGAUUUACUAUGUUGUGCGCAAAGUAAAAUACCAAAACCUUUGGUGACUGUAUAGACCAUUUAUUUAUACAAAAUAUAUCAAUAUAUACAAAGAACCUUUACAACUAUUUACAUAGAGGAAUAAGAAAGGAUCUUGCUUGGAAGGGGGAGAGCCAAAGUGAAGGAGAGGAGAGAAAGUCUGGUUCAUUACCUGCAGAGAUUGCUGCCUCUUUUUUAAAACUGCAUUGUAGGUUCCACAUUAAGCACAACUGUGCUGCUUUAAUAAAUUAAUUUGUGAACUUUAAAUGUAACAAUUUUUUUCAUCUGAGGUAGCAACCUCUGCAGGUAAGGGACCAGACUCAAGAGGAAGAGCUCAUCCUCUGAGCGUGGAGGCGGUGCUGGAUCUACAGGACUGGUCCGGACUCCGGAGUGCUUCUAGGAGGAUGCCGCUUCACAACUGAUGGCUGCUAUCUAGGCCUUCUCUGAGCUCUUCAUCUUGGUGGCGCUGGAUCAGAUGAUAACACAAUUUGUACAAUGAGAAGGCAGAAAAGGAUUAAACUUAUUCACAAAUUGUCA